ACAGGGAUUGCCUUAGUAACGGCGAGUGAAGCGGCAACAGCUCAAAUUUGAAAUCUGGACCUAGUCCCGAGUUGUAAUUUGCAGAGGAUGAUUUUGGCGCGGUGCCUUCCAAGUUCCCUGGGACGGGACGCCGGAGAGGGUGAGAGCCCCGUCAGGUUGGACACCAAGCCUAUGUAAAUCUCCUUCGACGAGUCGAGUAGUUUGGGAAUGCUGCUCUAAAUGGGAGGUAUAUGUCUUCUAAAGCUAAAUACCGGCCAGAGACCGAUAGCGCACAAGUAGAGUGAUCGAAAGAUGAAAAGCACUUUGGAAAGAGAGUUAAACAGCACGUGAAAUUGUUAAAAGGGAAGCGUUUACGACCAGACUUGUGCCGGUUGAUCAUCCAGCGUUCUCGCUGGUGCACUCUGCCGGCCCAGGCCAGCAUCAGUUCGCCGCGGGGGAUAAAGGCGUCGGGAAUGUGGCUCCCCCGGGAGUGUUAUAGCCCUUCGCGCAAUACCCUGAGGCGGACUGAGGUUCGCGCAUUCGCAAGGAUGCUGGCGUAAUGGUCGUCAACGACCCGUCUUGAAACACGGACCAAGGAGUCGUCUUCGUAUGCGAGUGUUCGGGUGUAAAACCCCUACGCGUAAUGAAAGUGAACGCAGGUGAGAGCUUCGGCGCAUCAUCGACCGAUCCUGAUGUUCUCGGAUGGAUUUGAGUAAGAGCAUACGGGGCCGGACCCGAAAGAAGGUGAACUAUGCCUGUAUAGGGUGAAGCCAGAGGAAACUCUGGUGGAGGCUCGCAGCGGUUCUGACGUGCAAAUCGAUCGUCAAAUAUGGGCAUGGGGGCGAAAGA
rnacentral:rRNA from 1 species